UACGUAGGGGGCAAGCGUUGUCCGGAAUUAUUGGGCGUAAAGAGCGUGUAGGCGGUCCGGUAAGUCAGCUGUGAAAGUCAAAGGCUCAACCUUUGAAUGUCAGUGGAUACUGCCGGGCUAGAGUCCGGGAGAGGUGAGUGGAAUUCCCAGUGUAGCGGUGAAAUGCGUAGAUAUUGAGAGGAACACCUGCGGCGAAGGCGGGUUGCUGGGCCGACACUGACGCUGAUGCGCGAAAGCCAGGGGAGCGAACGGG
rnacentral:rRNA from 1 species